rnacentral:tRNA from 1 species
CAAAGCAUAGUUUAUUAAAAUGCUAACAUUGGAAGUUAGAGAUCGGCUAUUUUGCUGUGCUUUGA